rnacentral:pre_miRNA from 1 species
AAUAAACGAAUUUAUGAGUUUUUAUAAAAUUUUUAACUCUUCAUCUUAUUUGAAAUUUUUAUGAUUAAUAUUUUUAUUGCUACUAUAUGAGAAAACAUGAAUAGUAUUUUACGUGUGAAUAAUUUUUUAAAAUUUUUUAAUAAUUUUUUUAAAUAAAACGGAUGGUCAAACACUCGACCUAUAAAACUCAGA